rnacentral:ncRNA from 1 species
UAAUAACGAUGGCAAAGCCCAUGAAAAUGGGUGACGCAAAACUAUAGGGACUAAAGAUUACUCGUUAUUGAUCAAUGUCAGCCAGUUACCGAA